GACAGAGGAGCCAAGCGUUGUCCGGAUUGACUGGGCGUAAAGGGCACGCAGGCGGCGCCGCGCGUGGGGUGUGAAAGCGGGUGGCUUAACUGCCCAAGGUCAUCCCAUACGGCGGUGCUGGAGCCAUCCAGAGGUCGGUGGAAUUGCCGGUGUAGUGGUGAAAUGCGUAGAUAUCGAGAGGAACACCUGCGGCGAAGGCGGGUUGCUGGGCUGAUACUGACGCUGAGGCGCGAAAGCCAGGGGAGCGAACGGG
rnacentral:rRNA from 1 species